rnacentral:misc_RNA from 1 species
AGAGGUAAUGGAUGCGCUUGCGCAGUUCACCUGUUCUCUUCAUAUGUCUUAUGUAAAAGUUAACACAUUAAUGAACACGCAUGUAUGCAUGUAUUUGUGUGUGUACAGUCUCUACAUAUUACCUGGUGGACUUGUUAAAAACCGACAGUCCGGUGAUAUUCUCGCUGUACACAUGAUUACCUAUCAAGUAUUUAAAUAUUAUUAUUUUGAAUCUACCGCGGGAAUUUAUCCGCGCUAUUUUAAAGUAUCUUAGUUUUUAUUUAAACUUAUUUUUUUUAUAAAUAAUAAUACUGUUUAUUGUUUAAUAAAUUAUUCGUAAUAAUAAUAAUAUCAAGGACUAAUUUUCGUAACGAAUUAAUACUUAAAAAUAUUAAAAGAAUAAACAAAUGUAUAAAGUUGUAAUGAUUGUGUUAAUAAUAGCAAUUAUUUGCGAUAUAGUUAAUAGUAAAAGUACUUAUUACUAUGGGGAUCAAGGUGAUAUUGUGUUUCCCGGGCCUGCAAGCUAUCAAAGGUCGAUAGUAAUCACAAGUCCUAAUAAUCCAACAACUGAACAAAGUUUUCUUGCGAAAUCAAUAGAGUUAGCGAAACAAAUGCAAAAUUUUGAAACCAUUGAAGAUUUUCUCUCUAUCGUUAAGGGAGUACCGGAUUCUGAAAUGCCUUCUUUCGUAGCCGAUCGAAUGGGUAUAGAAAGAGCAUCAGGAUCAUUAGCAAAACCUGCCGCGUGUACGCCGGCACUUCAAAUAGUACCGCUCAAUCUACGUGUAGAAGAUCCAGCAGCCGUAUACUUUCCUCCUUGUACCAGAGUAAAAAGAUGCAGUGGAUGUUGCAAUCAUAGACUACUAACUUGUCAGCCGACUGAGACGCAUCUAGUCAAUUAUGAGAUCGCAGUAACAAAGUAUAUUAAUGGUACAUUAUCCUAUCAAGGCAAGGAAUUAAUACCAGUGGAAGUACACGACAACUGUACAUGCAAAUGCAGUAUCACAGAUCAUCAUUGCAAUCGUAAGCAAGUUUAUAUACAAGAUGAAUGCAGAUGUGUGUGUUCAAACAGUGAUGAUGAGGCAAAGUGCAAAAGAUUUCCCCAUAUUAAGAUAUGGGACUCUGAUAAAUGUGAAUGCGGGUGUCGAGAGAUAGAAUCGUGUUCUGAGGGACUGUACUUCGACAAAAAUACUUGCCGGUGUGUAAUUAAAUAAUUAUCUAAUUGUACUAACUAUUUUCUGUCAGAUUUACUGCGGAGUCUAUUCUGGUGGAGGGGAUUUUAUUCUUAAAAAGUUGCCAAUCAAAACCCAGAAGCAGAGAUACUUAUUAUACAUGGGAAGCAAGUGAAAGAAAAGUUACACCACCGAUAUUUGCAGACAUUAUGCC